CCUAGCCUUUAGCAAUAUAAACGGGGCUCUCCACAGACAAACGGCAGAUUUCUAACAAUCAUAUUUCCAAUCGAUUCAUCAUUUUAUCGCAAGUGUAACACGAAACACAGAACCGUUUAAGCUUCACAUUAUGUUUCUAGGUUGACGUUGUUUUAGGCUCCACGACGUCCGCAAUGGUUAGCUCUCAUAGCCACCAUGGGCUAUCGCUAACUAGCCGCCCUGUCACCUUGGCUGUCAUCUCCAGAACUGCUCACGCUCGAGCCUCAACGUCCUUGAGACCAACUGGAAAUAUACGGUGUCAGUCCCUCUCAGCUCCAGAUGGCUCCUGGUUCUGAGCCAGUGGGACAUGGCUUCCCUCUUCUGCUCCACUGGUGGAAGAAGACGAGCAGGAGUCAGUGUUUCAGACCGGCGUCUCCGCGGGCGUCACACGGGCGUCGUUGAGGGUCAACCAUCCGGCGCCGUCCUCUCGAGCUACGUCACUGACGUAGUGGCCUGGGGGACACAAGACAUCCAUUACCUUACUGUCCCCCAGCGUGGGACGGGUCUAGUGUCUGACGCGUGUGUCAGCUCUCUCCCUGGCCCCUCUCACCCCAUGAACUUCCUGAAGACCUCUGUCCCUGUCUCCUGCACUGUCAAGAUGAUCCACUGCUGCUGAGAAACACACCAACAAUCCUGUUUUGUACACAACUGAAAAACUCAAGCGGUUGGGCAUGAGAUAGGAAUCCAUCACUUUUUUCUUACCCAUGUUUGCACUUGGUUUUGCUCCAGAUGCGAUUUCCCCCUCUCCAUAACUUGAUCUACAACACAUUCCAUACAUAAUGAUUAAUCAUAUUGAGGAUCGUAAAUUAAACACUAAAAUGGUUGCGUGAGGUCCUCUAUAAGAGGCAGGGGAGCUUAUGGCCGGAUUACCAAUCUAGAUUCAUCUGACUCUGUUUCAAUGACGCCCACCACUCCCAACCCGCCCAAUCUGUUUCCAUGAAGCACAACGCACUGCCUACCGUCGUAGUCUGUUUCCUUAUCUCUUACCUCAGUGGGUCUAUCCCAGCUGCAGCACCCUGCUCUCCAACGAGGGAGGCCAGAGACAGCCAUGGAGGAACGCUGACAGCAUCGGUCACCUUCCUCAACCGUGCCCCGUCGUGGUGGAAGCGCUUCAUGUGAAGGAGUAACACUCUGUGGACACAAACGGUUCAUCGUCCGAUCGCUGCAUGCACACACGCGCCCGUACGUAUGAAAAGGCUGCUUCAAGGCAACAUUGGAGACAACAGACUCAAGUUCAUGGCUCACCUGGGCAGAGUGAGGAAAUGCCGAACCGCUGUUGUCUGACAUCCAGAGCACUGCCGGCAGGUGCACUCCAACUCUGAAGGCUGAGGGAAAGUGCUCUGUGAGUAUCAGUGGACCAGCGUAAUCGGACACACCAACACAACGGUGUACUGACUUUGAAGUAGAAUUGGAGGCCAGCUAUCAACGACGGGUGGAGGUCCAAGGACAAGUGGUUCUGCUCCUCCUCCUGGAAGACCUUGUCACCGCAGCUUUUAAGACGGGCAGAGAACAGAAAAUCACCAUUUGAACACAGCAGACCAGAUCAUGAUGCCAAAAGUGUUGGCGUAACAUUGAUUGACUCUGAUUUCCAUCAUUCAAUGAUGGAGGAACUAUAGUAGUAUUAUGCGACAACAAUAAUACGUUCGAUGAAGUCAAGCGUUACCUGGUGCAGGUGCGUACACACUGCAGUCUGAACUCAAAGUUCUGGACGGGGCAGAUAUAGCUGGGUGACGUGGAGAUCUCCUGCAGUGUCUCACCUUCCAUCUUCAUCUUCAUGAAGAGGAGGAGCAGGAACUCAUGAGCAUCCUGUCAGAAACCAGAAGUUCAGUUGACAUGUGUUUAAUCCUCAACAAGCGCAUAAGCCAAGAGAUAAGGACUCAUCAGCUGUACCUGCUCAGUGAUAUGCUCGUACUCCUCGUUGAACUCUGCCAGACUGCUCUUGAUGGACCAAAGGAGCCGGCGCUUGCCUUUGUAGGAGCCCUCACCCUGCCGGGAUUUAUAUAGCUCCCCCAAGUACCUGGAGAACAGCAUCAGAAAAAAACCAAGUGCAUUUAGUAUACCUACUGUACUUAAUAUUGUACAGUGGAGCAUUCACUUUGUCAGUAAAUCGUCCAAGCUGUACUGUAGUUUGUGAGGGCUAUGGUUCUGGUUCUCCUCUAGUGUGAGGGCUAAGGGUCUGGUUCUCCUCUAGUGUGAGGGCUAAGGGUCUGGUUCUCCUCUGGUGUGAGGGCUAAGGGUCUGGUUCUCCUCUGGUGUGAGGGCUAAGGGUCUGGUUCUCCUCUAGUGUGAGGGCUUAGGGUCUGGUUCUCCUCUAGUGUGAGGGCUAAGGGUCUGGAUCUCUACUGGACCUCAGCAGCUUCAGCUUGGUUCUUCUCCGGGGGCUCCAGAGGUCCUCCUGCCCCGUGAUGUCACUGCAGAAGCAGGGCAGGCUGUAGAGACACUGCAGGGACGCGUUCAGGAAGCAGCUGUUUCCAAUGUUGGGCAAGCUGAAGAAAACACAUACACAUCAUUAGUCAAUGUACCAGCCCGGAGUAUAUAGUCGUGAUGAUUAGGUUUUAAAGAAGAGACAACCAAUGUUUGGGAAAGUGUAAAUCUCUACAAAUAUAACCAGAACUCCUUAAACUAUGGACUAUAAGGGGGUGAAGGCAUCAGCGGCCCCAAACAGGCUGCUUGUAUUCAUGUUUAUUCUCUAAAGAACCAGCUCAAGAGAUGUCUUUCCUGUCUCUUACCCAAGGGCCUCCUGGUGUUGCUGGGUCUUGCUCCUACCAGAGGAGGCCCGCAGCCGGCUGACCUCGUCCCUCUGAGGCUGACUGCAACACACAGGGACGAGGGGAACAGAGAGGGAAACACAGCAAUGAGGAGGAUAGUCACGUCACGUAUAAGCAAAACGGACUCAUUCAUUCAUCGAUUUCUAUCUGAUGUCCAAUCCUGUGCUGAUGGAUCUCCCUGAUGCAAUCAGCAAAGGUUGGCUCCUGCUGUCAUACCACUGCAGAGAUGAGAAGCGACGAGGCCGGGAGAACUCUGAGGACCGACCACCACCACGGUUAAGACAAUAAUAGUUGAUCUGUGGGACAUGCUGUCUACUCAAUGGAGGACUGCUUCAAAGUACCUGUUGUCUGGGCAGGAGGCCCAGUGGGGUCCACCUCAUUGAGCUCACUCCCAGCUACUGCAGGUACCCUGAAACGCACACAUUCAUCAAGGUCAACUGAGGAUGGGGGCUGAUGUUUUAAGGACAAAUAAAAAGCAGGAAU
ensembl:lncRNA